UUCGACGCAACGCGAAGAACCUUACCAGGCUUGACAUCCCCUGACCGCGUAUGAAAGUACGUUUUCGACCCUCGGGUGACAGGGAGACAGGUGGUGCAUGGUUGUCGUCAGCUCGUGUCGUGAGAUGUUGGGUUAAGUCCCGCAACGAGCGCAACCCCUACGUUUAGUUGCUAACGCGUGAAGGCGAGCACUCUAGACGAACUGCCGUUGACAAAACGGAGGAAGGUGGGGAUGACGUCAAAUCAUCAUGCCCCUUAUGUUCUGGGCUACACACGUGCUACAAUGGCCGGUACAGACGGACGCAAAGCCGCGAGGUGGAGCAAAUCCUAAAAAGCCGGUCUCAGUUCGGAUUGCAGGCUGCAAUUCGCCUGCAUGAAGUCGGAAUCGCUAGUAAUCGCAGGUCAGCAUACUGCGGUGAAUACGUUCCCGGGCCUU
rnacentral:rRNA from 1 species